AAACGACUGCUAAGACUGGAUAGGAGACAAGAAGGCAUCUUCUUGUUUUUAAAAGACCUAGCAAUAGGUAUGCUUAGGGAGGAGCUUGCGUCACAUUAGUUAGUUGGUGGGGUAAAGGCCUACCAAGACUAUGAUGUGUAGCCGGGCUGAGAGGUUGAACGGCCACAUUGGGACUGAGACACGGCCCAAACUCCUACGGGAGGCAGCAGUAGGGAAUUUUCGGCAAUGGAGGAAACUCUGACCGAGCAACGCCGCGUGAACGAUGAAGUAUUUCGGUACGUAAAGUUCUUUUAUUAGGGAAGAAUAAAUGAUGGAAAAAUCAUUCUGACGGUACCUAAUGAAUAAGCCCCGGCUAACUAUGUGCCAGCAGCCGCGGUAAUACAUAGGGGGCAAGCGUUAUCCGGAAUUAUUGGGCGUAAAGGGUGCGUAGGCGGUUAAAUAAGUUUAUGGUCUAAGUGCAAUGCUCAACAUUGUGAUGCUAUAAAAACUGUUUAGCUAGAGUAAGAUAGAGGCAAGUGGAAUUCCAUGUGUAGUGGUAAAAUGCGUAAAUAUAUGGAGGAACACCAGUAGCGAAGGCGGCUUGCUGGGUCUUUACUGACGCUGAGGCACGAAAGCGUGGGGAGCAAACAGGAUUAGAUACCCUGGUAGUCCACGCCGUAAACGAUGAGUACUAAACGUUGGGUAAAACCAGUGUUGAAGUUAACACAUUAAGUACUCCGCCUGAGUAGUACGUACGCAAGUAUGAAACUUAAAGGAAUUGACGGGACUCCGCACAAGCGGUGGAUCAUGUUGUUUAAUUCGAAGGUACCCGAAAAACCUCACCAGGUCUUGACAUGCUUCUGCAAAGCUGUAGAAACACAGUGGAGGUUAUCAGUUGCACAGGUGGUGCAUGGUUGUCGUCAGCUCGUGUCGUGAGAUGUUGGGUUAAGUCCCGCAACGAGCGCAACCCUUAUUGUUAGUUACCAGCACGUAAUGGUGGGGACUUUAGCAAGACUGCCAGUGAUAAAUUGGAGGAAGGUGGGGACGACGUCAAAUCAUCAUGCCCCUUAUGACCUGGGCUACAAACGUGAUACAAUGGCUGUUACAAAGGGUAGCUGAAGCGCAAGUUUUUGGCGAAUCUCAAAAAAACAGUCUCAGUUCGGAUUGAAGUCUGCAACUCGACUUCAUGAAGUUGGAAUCGCUAGUAAUCGCGAAUCAGCAUGUCGCGGUGAAUACGUUCUCGGGGUUUGUACACACCGCCCGUCA
rnacentral:rRNA from 1 species